CAGUUAUGAAAUCGGGAUGGAAUUUUUUGUUGUUCAUGCAUGUGAUGAAACAAGUGUUUUUUUGCUGUAUAUUUUAGUUUUCACUUGGUAAGAAGAAGGCCAAAGGUAACCAAUUAAGAGAGAAACUGUUGUCCCCGAUCCAGAAUUGUUUUUCUUGGUGCAACCAUGCAACUGGUGGUUUAGUCUAUGGAGCUAGAUAUCUGAUAGCAGCUGCUCCUGUCAGUCUCCUUGGUUUACUUCUACUUUUUCAGGACAACUAGGGUGAGGCUCUUUGACAAUGAAGCUCUGGUUUGUGCCUUACUCCCUAUUUACUUCAAUACAUAUAAUCAUAAUGAAACUUUUUGGGUGAUUCCU